CUUUUCUUCAUCUUCUUCUUCGUUUUUUUUUAUCAUCUUAAUUUGUAUCAAUAUCAAGUUUGAAGCGCAAGCUUGCUAGGGAGAGGAGGGUUUUGCAGAACUAAAUGCUUUAAGUACCUCAAAAUGUAGAGAAAUCCUCGCAAGGUUAAAUGGACUAAAGCAUAUAGGAGAUUGCAUGGGAAUGAUAAGACACAAGAUGAAGGGUAAGAAAGCCAUUGAGCAGAGAGCAGCAGGCAAAGAGUUGGAACAGAGCAUUGAUAUGGUCAAGGCACCUAUUUCUCUUCAUUAAGUGCCACAUCUCUCACCCUUCCAAAGAUCAAGAUCCAAGUUUCUCAAUCACAAGCAGAGGAUAACAUGGAAGAAUGAUGGGAGCAUGCUGAGUUUUCCGGCACAACUUUAUCUCACUGAAUGCAGUCAUUUCAUUGUCUUUCUGUGGUAUUUCUUUUUGACAGUGUUCCCUCAUUGUUUACCGCCUUUUACAUUGAUUAUGCCUCUCACAGUUGUAUUUUUGACCGUUGGAUCUUGAAAACCUGGAUGUUAAAAGCUAUAAAAGAUUUCUCCGACAAGUAUUGU